GGGCGAUUAGCUCAGCUGGUUAGAGCGCCUGCUCGACACGCAGGAGGUCAUUGGUUCGAUCCCGAUAUCGCCCACCA
rnacentral:tRNA from 1 species